rnacentral:rRNA from 1 species
GGCUCAGAACGAACGCUGGCGGCGUGGGUAAGACAUGCAAGUCGAACGGGACAUGUUGUGUAGCAAUACAGAAUGUGUUUAGUGGCGUAAGGGUGCGUAACACGUGUGUCAUCUGCCGGGAAGUGGGGGAUAGCUCGCCGAAAGGCGAAUUAAUACCGCAUGUGGCCGCAAGGCUAAAGCAGCAAUGCGCUUUCUGAUGAGCUCGCGGCCUAUCAGCUAGUUGGUGAGGUAACGGCUCACCAAGGCGGUGACGGGUAGCUGGUCUGAGAGGACGACCAGCCACACUGGAACUGAGUCACGGUCCAGACACCUACGGGUGGCAGCAGUCGAGAAUUUUUCUCAAUGGGGGAAACCCUGAAGGAGCGACGCCGCGUGGAGGAUGAAGGUCUUCGGAUUGUAAACUCCUGUCAUCUGGGAACAAAGCCGCAAGGUGUGAUAGUACCAGAAGAGGAAGAGACGGUUAACUCUGUGCCAGCAGCCGCGGUAAUACAGAGGUCUCAAGCGUUGUUCGGAUUCAUUGGGCGUAAAGGGUGCGUUGGCGGUAUGGUAAGUCGGAUGUGAAAUCUUGGGGCUCAACCCCAAAACUGCAUUCGAUACUGCCGUACUUGAAGACUGAAGAGGAGAUUGGAAUUCACGGUGUAGCAGUGAAAUGCGUAGAUAUCGUGAGGAAGACCAGUGGUGAAAGCGAAUCUCUGGGCAGAUCUUGACGGUGAUGCACGAAGGCCAGGGGAGCAAACGGGAUUAGAUACCCCGGUAGUCCUGGCAGUAAACGGUGCACGUUUGGUGUAGGAGGAUUCGACCCCUUCUGUGCCGGAGCUAACGCGUUAAACGUGCCGCCUGGGAAGUACGGU